CCCCAACAAUUGUUGUUGUGGAAAUCGGCUUGGAGGCAAGCUGUGCAGAUGAUACGCCGGGGGUCUAUAAA
rfam:Desulfosporosinus sp. OL contig00265, whole genome shotgun sequence.